AGAUAUGUUCUUUAAACCUAAAGAAUUUGGCGGUAUUUUAUUCUAUUCAGAGGAAUUUGCCCUAUAAUCGAUAAUCCUCGUUUUAUCUUACUUUAUUUUGUUUAUCAGUUUGUAUACCGCCGUUAUAAGUUUAUUUUUAUAGAAUUUUAAUUUACUUUAAUUUUUAUUUUUAUUUAUUUCAGGUCAAGGUGCAGCUUAUAUUAAAGUUGAGGUUAAUUACAAUAUUAUUUGAAUAUAAUGGAUUUUUUUUUUAAAUUUAAAAUGAAAGUGGAUUUGUUAGUAAUUUUAAUUAUAUUUUUAUUUUGAAUUUAGUUUUAAAAUAAGUACACAUCGCCCGUCGCUCUA
rnacentral:rRNA from 1 species